CUGGCGGCAUGCCUUACACAUGCAAGUCGAGCGGCAGCGCGGGGGCAACCCUGGCGGCGAGCGGCGAACGGGUGAGUAAUGCAUCGGAACGUGUCCUCUUGUGGGGGAUAACCAGUCGAAAGACUGGCUAAUACCGCAUGAGCUCGAGAGAGGAAAGCAGGGGACCCGCAAGGGCCUUGCGCGAGAGGAGCGGCCGAUGCCGGAUUAGCUAGUUGGCGGGGUAACGGCCCACCAAGGCGACGAUCCGUAGCUGGUCUGAGAGGACGACCAGCCACACUGGGACUGAGACACGGCCCAGACUCCUACGGGAGGCAGCAGUGGGGAAUUUUGGACAAUGGGGGCAACCCUGAUCCAGCCAUGCCGCGUGUGUGAAGAAGGCCUUCGGGUUGUAAAGCACUUUCGGACGGAACGAAAUCGCGCGAUCUAACAAGUCGCGUGGAUGACGGUACCGUAAGAAGAAGCACCGGCUAACUACGUGCCAGCAGCCGCGGUAAUACGUAGGGUGCGAGCGUUAAUCGGAAUUACUGGGCGUAAAGUGUGCGCAGGCGGCCGCGCAAGUCGAGUGUGAAAGCCCCGGGCUUAACUUGGGAAUUGCGCUCGAAACUACGUGGCUGGAGUGUGGCAGAGGAA
rnacentral:rRNA from 1 species